AACGAACGCUGGCGGCAUGCCUAACACAUGCAAGUCGAACGAGACCUUCGGGUCUAGUGGCGCACGGGUGCGUAACGCGUGGGAACCUGCCUUUAGGUUCGGAAUAACUCAGAGAAAUUUGAGCUAAUACCGGAUGAUGUCUUCGGACCAAAGAUUUAUCGCCUUUAGAUGGGCCCGCGUUAGAUUAGCUAGUUGGUGGGGUAAAGGCCUACCAAGGCGACGAUCCAUAGCUGGUCUGAGAGGAUGAUCAGCCACACUGGGACUGAGACACGGCCCAGACUCCUACGGGAGGCAGCAGUGGGGAAUAUUGGGCAAUGGGCGAAAGCCUGAUCCAGCAAUGCCGCGUGAGUGAUGAAGGCCUUAGGGUUGUAAAGCUCUUUUACCCGAGAUGAUAAUGACAGUAUCGGGAGAAUAAGCUCCGGCUAACUCCGUG
rnacentral:rRNA from 1 species